AAAACAGCGAUGAUAAAAACUACGAUUUAUAAAUUUCUUCAGAGAGCCGAUGGGUGGUGCGAAUCGGUGAAAGGUUAAAUCUUUCCACUUUUGGAGCUGUGCGUGAUAAAUGCAAAGGUUAGUAACCUAUAUAAUACUAGUGUCGAGGGGCUGGUUGUAAUAUUAACCAGCAAUUUGGGUGGCAACGCGGAUUAUUCCGUCCCAAUU
rfam:Clostridium beijerinckii NCIMB 8052, complete genome.